rnacentral:rRNA from 1 species
UGGGGAAUAUUGCGCAAUGGGCGAAAGCCUGACGCAGCGACGCCGCGUGAGGGAUGAAGGCCUUCGGGUUGUAAACCUCUUUCAGCAGGGAAGAAGCGCAAGUGACGGUACCUGCAGAAGAAGCACCGGCUAACUACGUGCCAGCAGCCGCGGUAAUACGUAGGGUGCAAGCGUUGUCCGGAAUUAUUGGGCGUAAAGAGCUCGUAGGCGGCCUGUCGCGUCGGAUGUGAAAAUCCAAGGCUCAACCUUGGACCUGCAUUCGAUACGGGCAGGCUAGAGUUCGGUAGGGGAGACUGGAAUUCCUGGUGUAGCGGUGAAAUGCGCAGAUAUCAGGAGGAACACCGGUGGCGAAGGCGGGUCUCUGGGCCGAUACUGACGCUGAGGAGCGAAAGCGUGGGGAGCGAACAGGAUUAGAUACCCUGGUAGUCCACGCCGUAAACGUUGGGCGCUAGGUGUGGGGAACCUUCCACGUUCUCCGUGCCGCAGCUAACGCAUUAAGCGCCCCGCCU